AACGAACGCUGGCGGCAUGCCUAACACAUGCAAGUCGAACGAGAUCUUCGGAUCUAGUGGCGCACGGGUGCGUAACACGUGGGAAUCUGCCCUUGGGUUCGGAAUAACUCUCCGAAAGGAGUGCUAAUACCGGAUGAUGUCGAAAGACCAAAGAUUUAUCGCCCAGGGAUGAGCCCGCGUAGGAUUAGCUAGUUGGUGAGGUAAAGGCUCACCAAGGCGACGAUCCUUAGCUGGUCUGAGAGGAUGAUCAGCCACACUGGGACUGAGACACGGCCCAGACUCCUACGGGAGGCAGCAGUGGGGAAUAUUGGACAAUGGGCGAAAGCCUGAUCCAGCAAUGCCGCGUGAGUGAUGAAGGCCUUAGGGUUGUAAAGCUCUUUUACCCGGGAUGAUAAUGACAGUACCGGGAGAAUAAGCCCCGGCUAACUCCGUGCCAGCCGCCGCGGUAAUAC
rnacentral:rRNA from 1 species